UACGAAGGGAGCUAGCGUUGCUCGGAAUCACUGGGCGUAAAGGGUGCGUAGGCGGGUCUUUAAGUCAGGGGUGAAAUCCUGGAGCUCAACUCCAGAACUGCCUUUGAUACUGAAGAUCUUGAGUUCGGGAGAGGUGAGUGGAACUGCGAGUGUAGAGGUGAAAUUCGUAGAUAUUCGCAAGAACACCAGUGGCGAAGGCGGCUCACUGGCCCGAUACUGACGCUGAGGCACGAAAGCGUGGGGAGCAAACAGGG
rnacentral:rRNA from 1 species